rnacentral:rRNA from 1 species
GAACGCUGGCGGCAGGCCUAACACAUGCAAGUCGAACGGUAACAGAAAGCAGCUUGCUGCUUUGCUGACGAGUGGCGGACGGGUGAGUAAUGUCUGGGAAACUGCCCGAUGGAGGGGGAUAACUACUGGAAACGGUAGCUAAUACCGCAUAACGUCGCAAGACCAAAGAGGGGGACCUUCGGGCCUCUUGCCAUCGGAUGUGCCCAGAUGGGAUUAGCUAGUAGGUGGGGUAAAGGCUCACCUAGGCGACGAUCCCUAGCUGGUCUGAGAGGAUGGCCAGCCACACUGGAACUGAGACACGGUCCAGACUCCUACGGGAGGCAGCAGUGGGGAAUAUUGCACAAUGGGCGCAAGCCUGAUGCAGCCAUGCCGCGUGUAUGAAGAAGGCCUUCGGGUUGUAAAGCACUUUCUGCGGCGACGAAGGGAGUAAAGAAAAUACCUUCGCUCAUUGACGUUACCCGCAGAAGAAGCACCGGGCUAACUUCCGUGCCAGCAGCCGGGGGUAAUACGGAGGGUGCAAGCGUUAAUGGGGAUUUACGGGGGGUAAAGCGCACGCAGGCGUUUUGUUUAGUCAGAUGUGAAAUCCCCGGGCUUCACCUUGGGAACUGCAUCUGAUACUGGCAAGCUUGAGUCUCGUAGAGGGGGGUAGAAUUCCAGGUGUAGCGGUGAAAUGCGUAGAGAUCUGGAGGAAUACCGGUGGCGAAGGCGGCCCCCUGGACGAAGACUGACGCUCAGGUGCGAAAGCGUGGGGAGCAAACAGGAUUAGAUACCCUGGUAGUCCACGCCGCAAACGAUGUCGACCUGGAGGUUGUGCCCUUGAGGCGUGGCUUCCGGAGCUAACGCGUUAAGUCGACCGCCUGGGGAGUACGGCCGCAAGGUUAAAACUCAAAUGAAUUGACGGGGGCCCGCACAAGCGGUGGAGCAUGUGGUUUAAUUCGAUGCAACGCGAAGAACCUUACCUGGUCUUGACAUCCACGGAAGUUUUCAGAGAUGAGAAUGUGCCUUCGGGAACCGUGAGACAGGUGCUGCAUGGCUGUCGUCAGCUCGUGUUGUGAAAUGUUGGGUUAAGUCCCGCAACGAGCGCAACCCUUAUCCUUUGUUGCCAGCGGUCCGGCCGGGAACUCAAAGGAGACUGCCAGUGAUAAACUGGAGGAAGGUGGGGAUGACGUCAAGUCAUCAUGGCCCUUACGACCAGGGCUACACACGUGCUACAAUGGCGCAUACAAAGAGAAGCGACCUCGCGAGAGCAAGCGGACCUCAUAAAGUGCGUCGUAGUCCGGAUUGGAGUCUGCAACUCGACUCCAUGAAGUCGGAAUCGCUAGUAAUCGUGGAUCAGAAUGCCACGGUGAAUACGUUCCCGGGCCUUGUACACACCGCCCGUCACACCAUGGGAGUGGGUUGCAAAAGAAGUAGGUAGCUUAACCUUCGGGAGGGCGCUUACCACUUUGUGAUUCAUGACUGGGG